CUGGACCUCCCUCACGUUGUGGGCCAGGCGGCUGGUGACCAUGAUAAUCUCCGUUUCGUCGCGGGUGACAUGUUUGAAUCCAUUCCACCCACGGAUGUUGUCUUGCUCAAGAACAUCAUGCAUGACUGGGGUCAUGAGGAUUGCGUCAAAAUACUUCAACGUUGCAAGGAGGCCAUCCCCGUCAAGAAAGCUGGAGGGAAGGUGAUGAUCAUAGAUAUGGUGAGAGGGUCUACAGAUGGCGAUAGAAAGAUCAGUGAGAUGGAAGCCUUACAGAACAUGUUCGCAGUGUGCAUCAAUGGGGCGGAACGGGACUUGAGUGAGUGGAAAAUGAUCUUUUCUAAUGCUGGAUUCGGUGACGACUACAAGAUCAUGCCGGUGCUGGGUCCCUACUCAGUCAUAGAGAUCUACCCACGAAAGCUUUGCAUGGCGAACUAUACCUUAUUAUAA
rnacentral:rRNA from 1 species